rnacentral:rRNA from 1 species
UACGAAGGGGGCGAGCGUUGUUCGGAUUUACUGGGCGUAAAGGGCGCGCAGGCGGCUCAUUUUGUCAGGCGUGAAAGCCCCGGGCUUAACCUGGGAACUGCGUUUGAUACGGAUGGGCUAGAGUUCGGGAGAGGAGAGUGGAAUUCCCAGUGUAGAGGUGAAAUUCGUAGAUAUCAAGCGGAACACCAGUGGCGAAGGCGAGUCCCUGGACAACUCCUGACACUGAGGCACGAAAGCUAGGGGAGCAAACAGG